GGAACAACUGAUAUUUUCCUUAUGUCACGGGAGCAGAUCCAACUCCCCUGGACUUUUAUCAUAUUGGACUAUACUCCAAUAAGAAGCCCAUUGUAAAUGGAAUCUACAUGCAGCGUGGAAGUUCUGGGCUCAUCUUGGAUGUCAUUAGCUUUGAAAGCUAUCAGCCUUUCAGUCCUCCAUCAGCUGAGGCUGCAGGACCUCCCACUGUCGAGACAAAUGCCCUGCCGGAAUGCGUUCAACUCCAAGGGAGAGGAAACAGUUUCACGCCCCUUCCACCAGAAUUCCAGCAGCUGCCCAGCAGGAGCCAUGGAAACUCCAAACCAUGGAAAACGGAACCAAGUUAAUUGAGCUCAGGAGCACGCCUGUUGUCAAUGGCUGUCAACAGCAAGACUUUGCAUCACUUGCACUUGUGUCGUGUUGAUCGUGUUUCUGGGGCAGAGCUCCCAUUGCAGACUUCAGACCCUGAGCUAGCACACUAUCUGUGCCUGCUGAUACACCGACUCUGGUGUUUUUACUUCAGUCCACUUUGGCUGUCGUGCUGCAAGUCAGAACAAGCAUCGGUAUCUCUAAGUCUCUGGGCUGGAGCCAUUCAUCUUUUAAGGAUCAUCGCAUAAAAAUGUCCCAGAUAUGGAAUACAUAGAUAAAUACUUCAAUGAAAAACAGAUACUAACUCUUUCUCCUGCCUUUGAUUCCUCAUACUAAACUUGAAACUCUGUUAC